GAUGAUUGUGCGGUAGCUCUUGCUAGUACAAGCCUUGAACCUACUUGUAAAAAGUCACUGGAGGUGGGGAAAGGGGAAGUGCUGCAAAUACUUUUUUAAGUGCAAAGGGAAAAGUUGCCAAGUUUAACUUCGAGAUCAGAGGAUUCCAAGAGGAAACAGCAUCCAACUCUCCCUGCCCCCUUAAAAACAAACCCUUAGGGCCCUGUUUCGCUGUAGCUAAAGGUGAGCAGGAAUGGGGAGGGGUUGUGGAGCGAAGUGAACAAAAGCCAGUAUAGAGACGGCGGAAGGGCAGCGCCUUGGGCUCCUCUUCGGGACGAUUGCGGGGUGGGAGACGGAGGUCAUGGAGUGGUCCCCACAACAAAGCCCCUCCGCCUCGCAAGAAUGCAUCUGCAGUGCGUGCUCCCUCCUCUCCGGGGCCGCGCCUUCUUCUCCAGGGCCUCCGCCGCAGUGUGUGGUAUUUAGCGGGAACGCGCGGCAGGCUCGAGCUCGAGCGAAGCGGCGGCGGCUGGGCAGCAGAGGG
rnacentral:lncRNA from 1 species